rnacentral:rRNA from 1 species
UAGGGAAUCUUCGGCAAUGGACGAAAGUCAGACCGAGCAACGCCGCGUGAGUGAAGAAGGUUUUCGGAUCGUAAAACUCUGUUGUUAGAGAAGAACAAGGGUGAGAGUAACUGUUCACCCCUUGACGGUAUCUAACCAGAAAGCCACGGCUAACUACGUGCCCG